rnacentral:rRNA from 1 species
AUUGAACGCUGGCGGCAUGCUUUACACAUGCAAGUCGAACGGCAGCACGGACUUCGGUCUGGUGGCGAGUGGCGAACGGGUGAGUAAUACAUCGGAACGUACCCAGUAAUGGGGGAUAACUAUCCGAAAGGAUAGCUAAUACCGCAUACGCCCUACGGGGGAAAGAGGGGGAUCGCAAGACCUCUUGUUAUUGGAGCGGCCGAUGGCUGAUUAGCUAGUUGGUGGGGUAAAGGCCUACCAAGGCAACGAUCAGUAGCGGGUCUUAGAGGACGAUCCGCCACACUGGAACUGAGACACGGUCCAGACUCCUACGGGAGGCAGCAGUGGGGAAUCUUGGACAAUGGGCGCAAGCCUGAUCCAGCAAUGCCGCGUGCGUGAAGAAGGCCUUCGGGUUGUAAAGCGCUUUUGUCAGGGAGCAAAUCCUUGUGGCUAAUACCCACCGGGGAUGAGAGUACCUGAAGAAUAAGGACCGGCUAACUACGUGCCAGCAGCCGCCGCAG